GAAGCGGAGCCGGGCGGAGCAGCGACGCUCAGAGGCCCGGUGAAGACGGCCGGGUUUUUCUGGACUAACGCGGUUCUGAGUUUCAACUUCCCCCAGGAAUUCUACGCUUCUCCAUCAGAAGGUCCACAGGUGUCGGAACGAUGGCCUCUUCUUUGGAACAGACGACGGGCUCUUUCCUUUCCCGCGAGCUAAGAUCAUUAAGGAGAAGACCCGCUGGUGUUCGCGCCCCCCUAGGAGACAGACGGCGGGAUCUCCUUUCUGCUUCCUUUCUCGCCGCUGCUGGGUGUC